UUUGAUUUGUUUUCUUCUUCAGACACAAGCUAAACAGCAUAGAUUCGACGCCGAGAGGCGCCGAAGCACGUCUCACUUCCGCCGGUUUGUGGAUGAAGGGUCCCGAAGGAUCCGUCUUUUUAAUGAUCCCUCCGCAGGUUCACCUACGGAGA
rnacentral:misc_RNA from 1 species